GGGAGCUCACUUUGGAGAUGGCAGCAAACCUCAACCCGGGGUGCCGGUAGGUCCCUCACUGUGAGCCGGUCCUCUCACGCUGCUCAGGGCGGCACAGCAGAGAGCAGGCCCAGCCGCUGACCAGGCCUGGACUCUGGACUGAGACAGACCUGGGUCUGACACGGGGCCCAACGCCUCCUGCCCGAGUGGCCUUGGGCGUGCCACUCAGCCCCUCUGUGCCUCCUCCCCCAAGAAAGGAGACAGACCGUUACCACCAGAAUGGACCCAGACCAUAAGUCCCGGAAGCAGCGAGGCCAUGCCCAUCGUUCCCCCGUCAACUGCCAGCCUCCAGCCCGGGGCCAAGCGCACGGCACGUGCUUGAUAAAUAAUUCUCAGUUUAUGAAAAAGCGAAUGUCGGAGCCAAGCUCUGGAAGUCCCGGGAGAUCUUUUAAAAAGAUGCUUUUUUAAAGACGUAUUCCCAAAUUCUCCAGCCGGGAUGGUGACUGAUGGCUCUGGAAGCAGCGCAAACAGGCCGGGCCGGGCUGGCGCUUUACAAGGACAAACGCGCAUCAGGCGCUCCGUGCCCUCAACGGAGCCGCGCUUUAUCUCUGCCUGCAGAACGCAUCGAUCUCGACGUCAAUCAGAACCAGCUCGCCUCGUAACUCACACAACAGGCUGGGGAGCUGAUCAAACGCUCUGUUAAAGCGGCACUUUAAUAACAAUAUCGCUUAGAUCUCAACUGCUUAAUUAGAUUUCACUCAUUGCCAUCACUUGCCUCAUUUGAACGGCUCGUUUAUAAUUUACGGUCUUUAUGCAUUUGGUUGUUCAUUUGUAAAAUGAGAGAGAACAACCACCAGGCAAAGGAAAGCGGGAGAAGAAAUGGAUUUGACUUCUCCCAGGGGCCAAGGGGCCUGCAAGUGGGAGGCCUGCGGCCAAGCGGAGAGCAGGCUCAGAAUCUCUCGCUCCUCUGCUAGAAGCUUCUACGGUUCCUCUGGACAAGUACCCCCGGCCCUACGUCUUUGCGGUUGGCGCUUCCUCCAGCUUCAGACAUAGGCUCCGCCCAUCAGCUUGUCUGACUCCGAUCAGCACCAGGAUUAGUUCAGGAAUAGGCACAUGAUCAACCCCACCCAAUGAGAACGAGCCUUGGGAUAUUUGCUGCAACUCCCAGGACAGAGUCUGCAGCGCCAGGGGGCCAGCCUCCCUCUGAG
rnacentral:lncRNA from 1 species